GAGACAGGCUACACUACAAGUUUUCUUUCUUCUCUCAGCGACGAACCCUCAUCAUGAAGACCGCCAUCCUGCUCCUUGUGCUGGGACUGGUAGUGGCUGAUGCCGCCGUGAUUCACGUGCCGAAUGGAAAAGAGAAGUCCACUGGACAGGAAAGGUCCAGUCCGUGCGUAGUAGGCGCACAGUGUUACUCCGGUAAUUGUGUGGCAACAAUUUCUGUUGGGGGCCACACCUUCUGCUGCUGUGGUGGGCUAAACACGAUGACUCUCUCCGGUGAUCUCGGUGCCCUCGGCAGUCCACCCUGGUCCCACGUUCCGUGUAGCUGCAGCUAGCUACUGAAGCUCUACUUCACGAUGCUGAAACAAUGACGGAGAACACAGACCGUCGACGUCACGAUGUUUUGUGUGUCUAUUUUUGAAUUUUCAUAAAUAACAAAAACGCUCUUUCAACGCGUCUUUGUGUUUUUCCUCAAAAGUUAAGUCCGUAAUUGUAGACUCUCUGUAGACUAUCUGUCCAAGUUUCCAUAUCAAGCAAUACGAGUACUUGAAAAGAUGUUUCUCCUAUCGUUUAUUAGAUAAGCCAGGCUAAAUAUAGUUUUGUAAGUCAGUAGAGUUACUC